GAUGAACGCUAGCGGCAGGCUUAACACAUGCAAGUCGAGGGGCAGCACGUCUUCGGAUGGUGGCGACCGGCGCACGGGUGAGUAACGCGUAUGCAAUCUACCUUUUACAGGGGCAUAGCCCGGGGAAACCCGGAUUAAUAUCCUAUAGUACCAUUAUAUAGCAUUAUAUUAUGGUUAAAGUUUCAGCGGUAAAAGAUGAGCAUGCGUCCUAUUAGCUUGAUGGUAAGGUAACGGCUUACCAUGGCUAUGAUAGGUAGGGGUCCUGAGAGGGAGACCCCCCACACUGGUACUGAGACACGGACCAGACUCCUACGGGAGGCAGCAGUGAGGAAUAUUGGACAAUGGGCGCAAGCCUGAUCCAGCCAUGCCGCGUGCAGGAAGACGGCCCUAUGGGUUGUAAACUGCUUUUAUACGGGAAGAAACACCCCUUCGUGAAGGGACUUGACGGUACCGUAUGAAUAAGGAUCGGCUAACUCCGUGCCAGCAGCCGCGGUAAUACGGAGG
rnacentral:rRNA from 1 species